CCUACGGGCGGCAGCAGUGAGGAAUAUUGGUCAAUGGACGCAAGUCUGAACCAGCCAUGCCGCGUGCAGGAAGACGGCUCUAUGAGUUGUAAACUGCUUUUGUAAGAGGGUAAAGGGAGAUACGCGUAUCUGUCUGUAGGUAUCGUACGAAUAAGGAUCGGCUAACUCCGUGCCAGCAGCCGCGGUAAUACGGAGGAUUCGAGCGUUAUUCGGAUUUAUUGGGUUUAAAGGGUGCGUAGGCGGUGGGAUAAGUUAGUGGUGAAAUCCCGCGGCUCAACCGCGGAAUUGCCAUUGAUACUGUCCGGCGUGAGUGUAGUUGCGGUAGGCGGAAUGCAUGGUGUAGCGGUGAAAUGCUUAGAGAUCAGGCAGAACACCGAUUGCGAAGGCAGCUUACUAAGCUGCUACUGACGUUGAGGCACGAAAGUGUGGGUAGCAAACAGGAUUAGAUACCCCUGUAGUC
rnacentral:rRNA from 1 species